rnacentral:rRNA from 1 species
AUUGAACGCUGGCGGCAGGCUUAACACAUGCAAGUCGAGCGGAGAUGAGGUGCUUGCACCUUAUCUUAGCGACGGACGGGUGAGUAAUGCUUAGGAAUCUGCCUAUUAGUGGGGGACAACAUUCCGAAAGGAAUGCUAAUACCGCAUACGUCCUACGGGAGAAAGCAGGGGAUCUUCGGACCUUGCGCUAAUAGAUGGGCCUAAGUCGGAUUAGCUAGUUGGUGGGGUAAAGGCCUACCAAGGCGACGAUCUGUAGCGGGUCUGAGAGGAUGAUCCGCUAAGCUUGGACUGGGACACGGCCCAGACUCCUACGGGGAGCAGCAGUGGGGAGUAUUGGACAAUGGGGGGAACCCUGAUCCAGCCAUGCCGCGUGUGUGAAGAAGGCCUUAUGGUUGUAAAGCACUUUAAGCGAGGAGGAGGCUACUGAGACUAAUACUCUUGGAUAGUGGACGUUACUCGCAGAAUAAGCACCGGCUAACUCUGUGCCAGCCGCCGCCGUAA